rnacentral:ncRNA from 2 species
AUAACGCAGGUGUCCUAA